GAUCAGAGGAGUUGCUGUAAGGCUUUUUACGCGCAGCUGUAUUCCGGAAAGUUGUAUUUUCAACGAUUUCAUUGAAGAUAUCAUGGCGAAUAAAUCAGGAAAAGCGAAGUCAAAGUCUAAAGUGAAAGUGAAAAAGUGAAAGUGAGACAGGCUUUUUGUUUAAUGAAUCUUGGAGUGUUAUGAUUCAAACAAACUGAGGAGCCGUUUCUGCAAGGACAGGACGUACUUCUGGACGGUGAUAGCGACUCCGACUGGGAGCCCCCAGUGCCAGGCUGCCCGCUCUACCUGUGCCCCCAGUGGUGUUCAUAUGCCACAGUUCAUUACUGCAGGCAUGACUGUGCCUCAGGGCCAAAAGGGCACAGCAUGGAGGCCUCGUUGUGUUCUGUGUCGCAUGAAAUGCACCACUUGUUCAGUUUGCCUCUGCUUUACAUCAGAAAGAGACUGCUAUGGGACAUGGCACAGGCAGCAAAAUAUUAUGACGAGGACUUCCAAGGGGUGUACUGUUUUUUUUAAAUAUUUAUUUUCUAAUAUUUUUUUAAACAUGUUUUUUGUGUGUGUGUGUUAGAAUUGCUUUUUGAUAUGUUGUAUAUAGUUAUUUGCACUGCUGUAUAUAGUUAUAGGUAAUUUCACCAAUUCGGCCACUUGGGUACAUUUGGGCAACUUGUAUUGGACACCUGGGUGACUUCAUGCUAAAUGUCAUGUAGCUCACCCAUUCCUGAAGUUAUCAGUCUGAAACUUUGCACACCUACAGUUGCCCUCUUGUGUUAUCCAUCAAAAUGAUAUCCAGCAUCCUAUUCUAGUACAUGUGAAAGAUGAUACUACAACAAUAAAAAACAGAAAACGUAUGCUCUUUCUUUCUCUUUUCUUCCACCAGAUCUACUGUGUUAUAUUCUCCUACAUUCAAUUAACAUUUCCACAAACUUCAGAAUGAUACCAAGAAUAUGCAUAUCCUUGCAUAUCCUGAGCUACAGGCAGUUAGAUUUGGGUAUGUCUUCAGGCGGAAAUUGAGAACAAAGGGAUGCAGCCAUAACAAGUUAAGGAUCACAUCACAUCACCUCUACCUUACCUGACACCCUAGACCCACUUCAAAUUUGCAUACCGUGCCCAAUAGAUCCACAAACGAUGCAAUCGCCAUCGCACUGCACACUGCCCGAUGUAAGAAUGCUGUUCAUUGACUAUAGCUCAGCCUUCAACACCAGUCCCUAUCCAUAUCGACGGGACCGCAGUGGAGAAGGUAAAAAGCGUCAAGUUCCUUGGCGUACACAUCACCGACGAUCUGAAAUGGUCCACCCACCCAGACAGUGUGGUGAAGAAGACGCAACAGUCUUUUUAAACUUAAAAGGCUGAAGAAAUUUGGCUUGGCACCUAAGACCCUCACAAACUUUACAGAUGCACAAUUGAGAGCAUUCUGUUGGGCUGUAUCACUGCCUGGUACGGCAACUGCACUGGCAGUAACCACAGGGCUUUCCAGAGGGUGGUGCGGUCUGUCCAACGCAUCUCUGCAGGACACUUACAGCACCCGAUGUGACAGGAAGGCCAAAAAGAUCAUCACGUACAUCAACCACCUGAGCCACGGUCUGUUCAUCUCACUACCGUCCAGAAGGCAAGGUCAGUACAGGUGCAUCAAAGCGGGGACCGAGAGACUGAAAAACAGCUUAUAUCUCAAGGCCAUCGGACUGUUAAAUAGCCAUCACUAGCCGGGUACCACCCGGUUAACCAACCCUGUACCUUACAGGCUGUUGCCCUAUAUAGACUUGGAAUCACUGGUCACUUUACAAAUGGAACACUAGUCACUUUAAUAACAUUUAAAUAAUGUUUACAUACUGCUUUACCCAGAUCAUAUGUAUGUAUUGUAUUCUAUUCUACUGUAUUUUAGUCAAUGCCACUCUGACAUUGCUCAAUAUUUAUAUAUGUAAUUCAUUAAUUUAAUUUUUUUACUUUUAGAUUUGUGUGCAUUGUUGUGAAUUGUUAGAUAAUACUGCACUGUUGGAAUUAGGAACACAAGUAUUUCACUACACCCGCAAUAAUAUCUGCUAAAUAUGUGUAUGUGACCAGUCAAAUUUGAUUUGAUUUGAUCACCACACAGCCAGCUUGUCAGAAGUGGGUCUGGCUGUCUGACACAGCUCUGCCCCAUAUUAUUUCCUGCUUGCUUAAGUGUGCCAGUUGGAAUGCACUGAAAUUUGCUUCAUAAACCUAGGCUAUACCAG